rnacentral:lncRNA from 1 species
CAAAACCUUCCUUCAUCUUUUUAUUUUUAUUUUCUUUCCCUUACAUCCGAGCCAUCCAUUUCAGAUUUCCUUUAAUCUGGACCAUCCAAAUGGCACACCAAAAUUUUAUAAUAAAAUUCAUAAAAUGCCCAAACUUCAAACUUUAAAAUCUUUUUCGUUAUAACUCCAAAUCACGAACCGUCUGCGCCCACGCUUCCGUAGCGACGAGUACUACGAGGAUAUGUCAAGAAAACAAAUCUUAGAUGGCACGACACAACGAUCAACCUCGAAUAAUGCGCGUGCCUCAAAGGGCAUUUUGUAAAAUCCUUUAUUAAAACUUUAAAAACUCUUAAAAUCAAGGACGGGCUAUCACAAAGUGUGAUUUAAGUUUGGGGGUGGGAAAUAAGAAAUUUUAGAUUUUUAAUUUUUGAGUCAAUUCAAAAAAAAAUUCAUUCUUUUUAAAUUAAUAUCCAUAGUUUAAUUUAAACGUUAGAACAAAUGGACAUGGUGAAGGUUAAUCCCACAUUGGAUUCUUUUCUAUUUAUCGUUGCUUAGACACUAAUUCAUGAGUUAUACUUUGAAAAUUUGCACAUUCACAUCAACAUGGUUUGUGGGGAGUGAGAUUGAAACACUUACUUUUAGUCUAAGUGUAUUUUAAUUUUUGUUCUAAGUAAAGUUAGUAGGUGUUAUAAAGUAAUAAUUGUUCCACCCGAGACUUUGCCUGGUAACUGGGCCAAUCCUGUCUGAUCAACAGUGAUUCUCGCGUCAAACGGUAGAGUCUUGGCAUGGGGCAUGGUGGUUAGUUGGUUUCGUAGCCUUUUC